rnacentral:tRNA from 1 species
GGAGAGGUGCCGGAGCGGCCGAUCGGGCUGGUUUCGAAAACCAGUGAGCCUUAUGGUUCCGUGGGUUCGAAUCCCACCCUCUCCG